rnacentral:lncRNA from 1 species
CUGAUUUUAAGGCAAUUUUCAAAACUUAAAACUUCUUGUUUGUUGUAUCCAUUUCUGUUUGCUUCCUCAGCAUCCAAAUUCCCUUCUUCCAAUAGUGGGCAUCAUUGUCACUUUGAAUAUACUUUAUGCCCUGCUCCCAGGGCAGGUGUGCAGGCUCGUACAUUGCCUUCCUUCAGACGCACUGAUUGGUUCAGACAUGGGCACAUGAUCUAAAGUGGCAGAUUAAGAGUUUAUUGCAUUAGAAUGAAAUGAGCGUGAGUUCAAAAUGGAAUACAUAUAGUAGUACCCUUCUAUUCGGACAUCUCAUUGAUAGGAAACAAAACUACGUCAUGCAUUGAAAUAGAACUUUAUAACCUUAGCAUUGCAAAGCAAGAAAUUAAUCCAAAGGUUGCCCAAUCCAAGAUAUUCAAAGCAGAAAUCCACUCUAGCUUGAAACAUGAACGUGCUGUUCACUCUGCAUUCCAUUCAGCCAAUUAUUAUUAUUAUUAUCAUCAUCAUCAUCAUCAUCAUCAUUAUUUAUCUCUUCAGGACAGGAAAUUGUGUGCAGAAAUCCAGAGGCUUCUGCACUUUUCCAGAGCAGGUGGUGGGCUCCCAAGCUUCGCCAAAGGAGGUUGUACUUUCACUAAGUACCACAAAGUACCAAGGCAGAGGCUGAAAUGGCAGUUGUCCAAUAUCUUUACCAAAAAUAACUUGAGCUUUGGCCCCGUGGCCCGCAGCUCUCAGUGGGAGUGUCACAGAUACAUAAGCAGCCUUUCCUCCAAAGCGAGUCAGCGCUAAGGAAAAUGCUUUGCCCGACACUAAGGAGAGAGGCUGUCUGCUCUGCGGCCAGGUCUCCCUUCCCCAGUCAUUACCCACCCAAAGAAGGAUGACUUGGAAGAUGACAUUGAAAUCAGACGGGAGAAAAUCUGGGCACAGGUCUGCUUCCGUUGUUCAUGGCUUCCAUGCUUCCCUCCUGCGUUUAAUAAAUAUUGAUGGAGCACCUGCUAUGGGUAGAGACUGCCACAGUAACUUUCUCUCUCUCUUCCUCUCUCUCUCUCUCUCUCUACACACACACACACUCCAAACAGAUAAACAAAGUCCCUGUCCCCAUGGAGCUUACACCCCAGUAGGAGAAAGCCUUCUGAGUGAUUCUCCUGCUAUAAGGCGCAUGAUCAUCGACUAACGCAGACGGAAUGGUUUGGAAAUCCCAUUUCCCCAGUUUCUGCACAGAAGCCCCAGCACCCUGCAUUCGAAUGUUUUCUAAAUGCUCCUCCCCCGGACUUUUGAGAGUUCUUCUGAAAUCGAGUCAACAGGAAGAGUCACACUUACCAUUCUGUUACAAAGCCAUAUCAUAACCAUUAAAACAGAUGUAAAAGAUGUCACUGUCACUUCUUCUUUGUUCAUUCAACAAACAUUAUUUAAGCCAGGCUCACUAGGCACUGAGGAGUCAGCGAGCAGAUAGAAAGAAACCAAACGCUGCCCUCCUGGAGUUAACUGUCCACUGGGAGUGCAAGACCCUAAUAAAAUACUCAAAUAAGUAUAAAAUUAUGAAGGA